UUUUUUUUUUUUUUUUUUUUUUUUUUUUUUUGUCUUUUUGCCAUUUCUAGGGCCGCUUCCCACGGCAUAUGGAGGUUCCCAGGCUAGGGGUCCAAUCGGAGCUGCAGCCACCGGCCUACGCCAGAGCCACAGCAACGUGGGAUCCAAGCCGCAUCUGCAACCUUCACCACAGGUCAUGGCAAUGCCGGAUCCUUAACCCACUGAGCAAGGCCAGGGAUCGAACCCACAACCUCAUGGUUCCUAGUCGGAUUCGUUAACCACUGAGCCACGACGGGAACUCCUGUGCCUAAGUCUUUAUAUAAGAAGUCAAGAGAGAAGUGCAUAUAAUUGGAAUCCAGAAAUAGUGGAUUGCAAGGUAUAUUAUUCAAAAAUACAGAGCUGCAUGCCAGAAGAAACAAAAACUCAAAAAAGGAUGUGAAUUGCUCCUUCUGGGGUAUCGAGUAUAAUGGCUGUGGAAGGGGCAGCAGCUGCUGGCAAAAUGGAAGCACCUCUUCCUUCAAGGUGGUUCUUUUGACGUGCCAAGACCUCCUCAACUCAGUGUGAGAAAAAUGCGGAGAGUACGGAGAAAUAAAUAGACCAUUUCUCACAGGAACAUUGGGAUGAUGAGCACAAACAGCCAUGGAAGGCAAAAGAUUGUAUGUUUACUACCAACAAACUUCCUUUAAAACAAGCCUGAGGAUAGGUUUGCAAAGUCAGACUCAAUUUCUAUUUCCAUGUUCUACUCAAUUUCUAUUUCCAGGCUCUACCCGCCAAUUUUUUUUUUUUUUUUUUUAAACACACACAAAACAACAACAACAAAAAAAUCAACAAACCACUUUAGUGUUCCUGGGAAGCUUUUUGCAGAAGGAUUGCCUUUCUAAUUAAGCCCUCCAACUCUUUAACAUGCUAAUUUUGUCCAUUAACUUGUAGAUGAAGUGGUUUCAGCUGUUAUCUGUGAAUCAUACACAACAGGGCUUGAUCUACAAUUUUGGGCAAGCUGGAUUUGAAAAAUUUGCUUGUUUUUAUUAGAGAAACUUGAGUAUUGUAAGAUAGCAUUUUUUUCCCCCCUAGUCUAGUUAACCAGAAUUUUAUGGACUGGCCUAAAGGAAAGAUGAUAAAACGAGAUCAGCAGUGAAGCUGGGGUGGGGACUCUGGGGAUGAAGUAAGUGAAUGAUGGGGUGAAAGUUCUCUGGAGCACAUUUGUUCAGCUCCACCUUUUAAGAGCUCAUUACAGAGUGAAAGGAAAAACUUAAAAAAUUGUGGAGUUAGAGACCUCUGGAAAAGUUACCUAAACAAACAUCAUUUGACCAUAUCCAUGAUAUGACCAGACCCAGAUAGGAAUGGAGAAAUAAGUCCACAAAAUGCAUACUAAUCUUACAAGUGAGAUACAUUCUAGUUCUACUCUUUAAUUCAUUUAAAGAUUAAGUCCUAUCUCCAACACAAGAGCUUCUUAACCUCUGAACACCCUCAGUUGCUGCUUGCAAAAAAUUAGAGAAUGAGUAUUACCGGUGUCAUGGAAUUCCCAGGGGAUAAAAUAAGACUUUGUGUACUAUAUGCUGUAUUGCUAUAGAAUAUUUUAUUUAUUUGAUUUGUGGGAGAAUGAUAUCAGAGUUCUCUGACACCCUGAAUGCAGAAUCCUAUGCAAACUAGUCUAUAACUACAUUGAAGGAAAUAUUGUGUAAAAAAGCUCGUGCUCAUAGGUGAAUAGUCUACUGGGAAUAUGCUUUCCUUAGAAUUUAAGUGGCAUCACCUAGGAUGUGGAAUCUGACGUUAUUGAGAACUCACUCUUCAUGCCUGAAAAAGGCAACAAUUGAGGAAAUUCAGUGUCAAAGAAAAAUUGCACUAGACUAAGUUAAAUAGUCCUUAGCCCUUAACUUGAUAAGAGUAUUGUAAUAAAGGAGAGAGAUUGAACUCUACUACACUGAAACCAAAGGUCAGCGUUUUUUAGCUCACUUAGGUGAGCUCAAGGCAAAGAAUGGAGAAUGGACUUGGGAAGAGGGAGUUUAAUUAGUGUGAUGAGGCCAUCAGUGUUUGCUAACUGGCACUUGCCUUAAAUUAGGCUCAUAAAUUAGGCUCAUACUCUCCCAAAAAGACUGGGAGGUAGGAACCCUCUUCCUUCAAGCAAACCUUUAAAAGGGAUGGUUCUUCAGGUCCUUGGCAAGGGUAGUCCUGGGCUGUGAAACUGUCAAGAGGCUGGAACACCUUGACAUCUCAAAGAGGGUAGAGAGAGAAUUGACAGUUGCAAGUUUUCUGAAGUAUAGGCUGUAAGAAAAAAGAAGCCAGCGACCUAUAGUCCACAAGAAACCUGUUUGAAAUUUAGCCAAACUGAGGACACAGUUAAGGUGAUCUGGCUUACCUGAAACCCUAGGAGGCAGGGAUUGAACCCUCAUCCUCAUGGAUAUUAGUUGGGUACAUAACCUGCUGAGCCACAAAGAAAAUUCCCAGUUUUGAUGCUAGACCUUGUGCACAAGAAACAAGUUUCCAGCAGUUAGAGUAGAAGGGAACUGUGGGGAGCCAGGCCAAAGGACAGCGGUCUGCAGCAACUGCUCAUUUCUCAGUAACAAUCUUCUCCUCGAAAAUGUCUUGAGACCAGACCACCUUAGGACUUGCGUGCAUGAACCUAGGGCCUAGCAGUAAAUCAUUUAAAUGCUAUUCCUCCCCAAAGGCUCUAAGUCCCGGGACCCCAUCCACUUCCCUCUCACCAUGCACUGUCUUAUUAAUAGUCACGCCAAAGCCUGGAUUGGGGGGGUGACCAGAGUCUUCUCAAACUGAGUCAUCUGCCAACCAAGGUCCAGAGGGAGAGAAGACAUGCACCAUUAACAAGCAUGAGACCCCCCUGGGUAGUGCCACCACCCUUUCCUUACAUGACUGUAAAGAAAGCUACUGCGCCUUAAUAAACCUCUAGGAGAUACUCUAGAGCUCCAGGACAAUAAUCCAACAGCAAAGGGCCAAGACCACCUUUAGAUGAGGCUUCCAGACCAUCCAAAUAAUCCCGUACCUCUAGCUGCUUGCACCCCACAACAAGCAAGACCGUAUCAUUCAGUGAGGAGCCUGCCCCCUACCAUCCCACACCCCAAACACAUACAGAAGUUCUUAGAGUCAUCAGUUCAUGGUCCCUUCUUGAAUUUCAGAUUGAAAAACAACUUAAAUCCAUAAAAUGGAAACCACAGGAAUCAUUUUCAAUCCCCCCCCAAUUCCUUUGCCAAAGAGCAAAUGUUGAUAUAUUAAAAAUUGCCUUCAUUAUUCCAUUAAAUCAUUCCAGUAAUUACAUUCUCUCAAAUUUUUUUAAAAGGGGGCUUUUAAUGGGAGUAAACUUGUUCAAACUGCAAAAAGAGCUUGAAAAAAAAAUAUUCCAAACCUUCAUAGAAAAAGAUUUGUUAGAUAUAUUUAAGUCACACUGUGCCUUCCCAAAACUUUUUCUUUUUAAUUCAACUUGUUAGACUCCUAUCUCCCUGUUUUUCACGUGGAUAUAAUCAUUUCUACUAAAAUAACACCUUAUCACUCAGUUAAAUAAAUCCUUUAGGGUUUAAAAAGCAACAAAUUGAAACAAUACGAAUGUAGAACUGCAUCGUUUUAAACAGAAACCCACAGUGGGACUCACUGGUUUUCGGAGAGAUGAAGAUGUAGAGGGGGCUUCCUCCCUUCCUUGCGGAGGCUCUGGAGGAGAAUCCGUUGCCUUGACUUUCUCCAUCCAUCUUCAAAACCAGCAAGAGCCAGUCUCACCUCGACCGCAUCACUACGUCUCUGGUUCUCUCUCCGCCUUCCGCUUUCAGUAUAUAAAGACCUUUGGGAUUACCCUGGCUCCACCUGGAGGCUCCGCGCUGCACGUCCCAUUACAAGGUCCGCUAAUUAGCAAUAUUAAUUCCACCUGCAGCCUUACCACCUUUCACCUGCAUCCUAACAUAUUCAUUGAUGCUAGGGAUGAAAACAUAGAUAUGGGUGGAGGGCCUUUGUUCUGUUCAUCAAAGUGUGGCUUGGUGAGAAAUGUAACAGAGGAAAAGAGCCUCCUCCAGUCUUACCCUCCAGGAGACCCACUUAGGCACUUGGAGUUGCAUGAGUACUAAGGGACAUUAUCAGGUGAUGAUACUCAACACAGUGGACCGAAGGCUUGAGGAGUUAAUAGCUAAUCACCAACCUCAAUCAAGGCGAAUUUUAGGGACCAAGAAUCUAGUGUUCAGAAUGGUGAAACUGGCUUUUUAACAAAAUAAGGCUCUUAAAUGGACACAUCGGGGAUUUUAUAAAGAUAAGUGAAUUAUGUUUAAAAGCAAGAUUUAUGAAAAAAUAUGCACGCAUCCCAAGCACUUUUUAAACUUUGAGGUAAUUUGUAAUACACCACCACAGUUGAAUAAACUAGAAAUAUUGAACAAGCCCUAAAAACAGAAAGCAAAACAGGCUAGGAAGGAUUAACACAAGAGCAGCCUUUGAUUUUCACAAGACAAAAAGCAGCUGGGCAGAUUCCAAAUGGUCCC
rnacentral:lncRNA from 1 species